AUUGAACGCUGGCGGCAGGCCUAACGCAUGCAAGUCGAGCGGAUGAAGGGAGCUUGCUCCUGGCUUCAGCGGCGGACGGGUGAGUAAUGCCUAGGAAUCUGCCUGGUAGUGGGGGAUAACGUCCGGAAACGGGCGCUAAUACCGCAUACGUCCUGAGGGAGAAAGUGGGGGAUCUUCGGACCUCACGCUAUCAGAUGAGCCUAGGUCGGAUUAGCUAGUUGGUGGGGUAAAGGCCUACCAAGGCGACGAUCCGUAACUGGUCUGAGAGGAUGAUCAGUCACACUGGAACUGAGACACGGUCCAGACUCCUACGGGAGGCAGCAGUGGGGAAUAUUGGACAAUGGGCGAAAGCCUGAUCCAGCCAUGCCGCGUGUGUGAAGAAGGUCUUCGGAUUGUAAAGCACUUUAAGUUGGGGGGAAGGGCAGUAAGUUAAUACCUUGCUGUUUUGACGUUACCAACAGAAUAAGCACCGGCUAACUUCGUG
rnacentral:rRNA from 1 species